rnacentral:rRNA from 1 species
UAACGCGUGGGUAACCUGCCUCAUACAGGGGGAUAGCAGCUGGAAACGGCUGAUAAAACCGCAUAAGCGCACAGCAUCGCAUGAUGCAGUGUGAAAAACUCCGGUGGUAUGAGAUGGACCCGCGUCUGAUUAGCUUGUUGGUGGGGUAACGGCCCACCAAGGCGACGAUCAGUAGCCGGCCUGAGAGGGUGACCGGCCACAUUGGGACUGAGACACGGCCCAA